AUUUAAUGAUUUAAAUAUAAACUAUUUAUAAUGAUUCACUAUCUGUUGUUAUGUUUGAUAAAAAUAUUAAAAUUGUAGUUGAACAUCUUUGUACUGAAAGCACAGAGUGAAGAUUGUUUAGCAGCGAUUCUGACUGUAAAUCAUAAGUUUUUCUCUCUGUAUUUUAUCUAACAUUACAUUUCUGUCUGUUGUUUUACACGACACCUUCAGUACUGGAGAAGAUUGCAGCACCGGUAAGUAAAUAACUCGAUUUCACACUAACGGUAGCGGCUGAUGUUUUAUAAACUUAUCACAUAUAUUACAUUUGAAUCCAGGGAUGAAAUGAAGAUAAAAAGCAUUUUCAGAUCAUGUUUACGUGAAGGACUCUGAUCAGUCAGUGAGAUUCCACUUCCAUCAGCCAGCUUCUUUCCCACAAUGCUCCUGUGCGUAAUCCCACUGCACUGCAAUAACGUAGGAGAGACGUUUACCAUGUCGAGUAAAAGACACAACAAUCAUGUAACAUAUAACACACACCACUGCCAGACUCCAUCAGAAUCCUAUUCAAAAUCAUACACCAGUAAAAUCACCAAAUUUCCCAGGAUUCCUCUGGAUUAAACAGGGGUCUUUUGUGCGAAUAUCCAAGGUCCAUUUCACCUUUUUGGAAUAUUUUCAUAAGGUGUGACUCCUAAUUGUGUUCUUCCUGAAAUGAACAGUAACAGAACAUUUCCUGACGCUUCACCAUAAACAUA
ensembl:lncRNA